GUGGGGAAUAUUCCGCAAUGGACGAAAGUCUGACGGAGCAACGCCGCGUGAGUGAUGAAGGUUUUCGGACUGUAAAGCUCUGUUGUUUAGGACGAAAGUGCCUGUUGCAAAUAGUUACAGGUAUUGACGGUACUGAACGAGGAAGCCACGGCUAACUACGUGCCAGCAGCCGCGGUAAUACGUAGGUGGCAAGCGUUGUCCGGAAUUAUUGGGCGUAAAGAGCAUGUAGGCGGGAAUCUAAGUCUGUUGUGAAAAUGCGGGGCUCAACCCCGUAGUGCGAUGGAAACUGGGUUGCUUGAGUGCAGGGGAGGAAAGGGGAAUUCCCAGUGUAGCGGUGAAAUGCGUAGAUAUUGGGAGGAACACCAGUGGCGAAGGCGCCUUUCUGGACUGUGUCUGACGCUGAGAUGCGAAAGCCAGGGUAGCGAACGGGAUUAGAAACCCGGGUAGUCC
rnacentral:rRNA from 1 species